rnacentral:rRNA from 1 species
AACGAACGCUGGCGGCGUGCCUAACACAUGCAAGUCGAACGCGAAAAGCAGUAAUGCUGAGUAGAGUGGCGCACGGGUGAGUAACACGUAAAUGACAUGUCCUCGAGACGGGAAUAACCAGCCGAAAGGCUGGCUAAUACCCGGUAAGCCCACGUCUUUGGAGAUGAGGGAAAAGGGUCGGGAAUUUUCGAAUCCGAUCGCUUGAGGAGUGGUUUGCGGCCCAUCAGGUAGUUGGCGAGGUAAAAGCUCACCAAGCCUAAGACGGGUAGCUGGUCUGAGAGGAUGAUCAGCCACACUGGAACUGAGACACGGUCCAGACUCCUACGGGAGGCAGCAGUGGGGAAUCUUGCGCAAUGGGAGCAAUCCUGACGCAGCAACGCCGCGUGGGUGAUGAAGGUCUUCGGAUCGUAAAGCCCUGUCGGAGGGGAAGAUGCUUGGAACGUCUAAUAGAUGAGCCAGGUGACGGUACCCUCAAAGGAAG